GGCAAUUAGUGCCCCUACACCUCUUUGUUUCUCAAAAAAAAAUUAAGUGAUUUACUGGUUCCAAAACCACGCUCUCGAGUUCCCAAGGUGAUUGGCGGCGUAAUGAUUCUUCCACUUCCCCUUCCUCAUGCGUGCAACUCAAUCCUCUAUAUUAGCAACCUUAAACCAUUUCCUUCCCCAAUAAUCCGCUCUUCUUCAGACUUCCUUCUCUCUCUCUCUAAAAAAAACUCAAGAGCGACAAUCGGCUUUCAUCGUCUUUCUCAGGCGAGCUCUUUUCGUACCUUAUCAGAUUUGGUUCACCGAUGAUGAACACCGCCCUCUUUUGAUUUCUUCUUCUCACCAUGAAACGGUGGCCGAGAUCUUUUUGAAUCUUCAAAAUAGGGUGAGAUCUUUUUGAUUUUUCUGUUUUUUCUUUAAUCUCUCUUCUUCUCUCUCAACGAUUCUGAAGGGUUUUUGUGAUAGGAAAAUGAUGAACAAAGUUUCAAGGUUUUUUUUUAUGAAUGUACCUAUGGCAUUUUUGAUGAAUUGAAUACUGUGUUCUUUAUCUUUCUUCACAUAAUUUCUGGAAAAUUUAUGUUGAUGAGGAAGAUAACGAUGGAAUUUUUUUAGGGUUUGAUUGUUCUCUGCGGCUGAUGUUUCUGAACAGUGAUCUCUGCCUUGGGAAUUGCGUAUUGAAUGCUUAUAUAUGCUGAUUUAAUUAGGGUUUUCUCAUUUUGUUUGCAGGCCUAUUCUGAAAUUCUCUAUAAGGGACUAUGGUUUUGACACAAUCAUAGUAAACUAUAAUCUUCUUUAAUAUUCUUGAUCAAACUGUGACAAGUACUAUGGGUCAGCAGCACAACUUGAAUAUCUUCCUCACGAUUGUUCCAAUCAGUCCAGAGGGACUGCAUUCAAAAUUGUUCAGGGUCACAAUUUCUGUUUAGGGGUAGUAUAUUGAUUUUCAAUUUUCACUUUCGAAUCUCUAAUAUAAUUUUUUUAUUUCAGGAUUUACCUUCUUUGAGUUGAUCUCUUCAUGUUGGUUCUUGCUUCACGAUGAUUGUCAAUGUUAGAUCUGAAUGGUUGUUGUUACUUUUAUUUGAAUAAGGGUUUCAGUAGAUGCCUUUGUUUUCCUAUGUCUACCAUAGGUUUUCUUUGCAAGGAUGAAAAAUUGAAGGAAGCUGAGAUUUUUUUACAACCUAUGGUAAAUUUGGGACUAAAGCCAUCGAUUUCUUUGUACAAUAUGGUUCACAAAGACAAAAGUGAUGCUUUGGAUUUUGAUCUUGAAAGUGUAAUAUAAGUUGUAAUUCAUAGUGAUACUCUAUUCAAUCCAUACAAUCCUGUUUAGAA